rnacentral:misc_RNA from 1 species
GAUGAAGAACGCAGCGAAAUGCGAUAAGUAAUGUGAAUUGCAGAAUUCAGUGAAUCAUCGAAUCUUUGAACGCACAUUGCGCCCGCUAGUAUUCUGGCGGGCAUGCCUGUCCGAGCGUCAUUACGCCCCUCAAGUCCCCUGUGGACUUGGUGUUGGGGAUCGGCGAGGCUGGUUUUCCAGCACAGCCGUCCCUUAAAUUAAUUGGCGGUCUCGCCGUGGCCCUCCUCUGCGCAGUAGUAAAACACUCGCAACAGGAGCCCGGCGCGGUCCACUGCCGUAAAACCCCCCAACUUUUUAUAGUUGACCUCGAAUCAGGUAGGACUACCCGCUGAACUUAAGCAUAUCAAUAAGCGGAGGA